CGGCGGGGGAUGGGGUCGCGGCCCAUCAGGUAGACGGCGGGGCAGAGGCCCACCGUGCCGACGACGGGUAGCCGGGUUGAGAGACCGACCGGCCACAUUGGGACUGAGAUACGGCCCAGACUCCUACGGGAGGCAGCAGUGGGGAAUUUUGCGCAAUGGGGGCAACCCUGACGCAGCAACGCCGCGUGCGGGACGAAGGCGUCCGCGUCGUAAACCGCUUUCAGCGGGGAACACUUAAACGAGGGUACCCGCAGAAGAAGCCCCGGCUAAAUACGUGCCAGCAGUCGCGGUAAUACGUAUGGGGCGAGCGUUAUCCGGAUUCAUUGGGCGUAAAGCGCGCGUAGGCGGAGCGCUAAGCGGGACCUCUAACCCGAGGGCUCAACCCCCGGCCGGGUCCCGAACUGGCGCUCUCGAGUGCGGUAGGGGAGAGCGGAAUUCCCGGUGUAGCGGUGGAAUGCGCAGAUAUCGGGAAGAACACCGACGGCGAAGGCAGCUCUCUGGGCCGAAACUGACGCUGAGGCGCGAAAGCUGGGGGAGCGAACAGGAUUAGAUACCCUGGUAGUCCCAGCCGUAAAC
rnacentral:rRNA from 1 species